rnacentral:rRNA from 1 species
GCAGUCGACGGCAGCGCGAGAGACCUUGCUCUCUUGGCGGCGAGUGGCGGACGGGUGAGUAAUAUAUCGGAACGUGCCCAGUAGCGGGGGAUAACUACUCAAAAGAGUGGCUAAUACCGCAUACGCCCUACGGGGGAAAGGGGGGGAUCGCAAGACCUCUCACUAUUGGAUCGGCCGAUAUCGGAUUAUCUAGUUGGUGGGGUAAAGGCUCACCAAGGCAACGAUCCGUAGCUGGUUUGAGAGGACGACCAGCCACACUGGGACUGAGACACGGCCCACACUCCUACGGGAGGCAGCAGUGGGGAAUUUUGGACAAUGGGGGAAACCCUGAUCCACCCAUCCCGCGUGUAUGAUGAAGGCCUUCGGGUUGUAAAGUACUUUUGGCAGAGAAGAAAAGGUAUCCCCUAAUACGGGAUACUGCUGACGGUAUCUGCAGAAUAAGCACCGGCUAACUACGUGCCAACAGCCGCGGUAAUACGUAGGGUGCAAGCGUUAAUCGGAAUUACUGGGCGUAAAGCGUGUGUACGCGGUUCGGAAAGAAAGAUGUGAAAUCCCAGGGCUCAACCUUGGAACUGCAUUUUUAACUGCCGAGCUAGAGUAUGUCAGAGGGGGGUAGAAUUCCGCGUGUAGCAGUGAAAUGCGUAGAUAUGUGGAGGAAUACCGAUGGCGAAGGCAGCCCCCUGGGAUAAUACUGACGCUCAGACACGAAAGCGUGGGGAGCAAACAGGAUUAUAUACCCUGGUACUCCGCGCCCUAAACGAUGUCAACUAGCUGUUGGGGCCGUUAGGCCUUAGUAGCGCAGCUAACGCGUGAAGUUGACCGCCUGGGGAGUACGGUCGCAAGAUUAAAACU